rnacentral:rRNA from 1 species
AUUGAACGCUGGCGGCAUGCCUUACACAUGCAAGUCGAACGGCAGCACGGGAGCAAUCCUGGUGGCGAGUGGCGAGCGGGUGAGUAAUAUAUCGGAACGUGCCCAGUCGUGGGGGAUAACGUAGCGAAAGCUACGCUAAUACCGCAUACGAUCCAUGGAUGAAAGCGGGGGAUCGCAAGACCCCGCGCGAUUGGAGCGGCCUAUAUCAGAUUAGCUAGUUGGUGGGGUAAAAGCCCCCCAAGGCGACGAUCGGUAGCUGGUCUGAGAGGACGACCAGCCACACUGGAACUGAGACACGGUCCAGACUCCUACGGGAGGCAGCAGUGGGGAAUUUUGGACAAUGGGCGAAAGCCUGAUCCAGCAAUGCCGCGUGCAGGACGAAGGCCUUCGGGUUGUAAACUGCUUUUGUACGGAGCGAAACGGUCCUCUCUAAUACAGGGGGCUAAUGACGGUACCGUAAGAAUAAGCACCGGCUAACUACGUGCCAGCAGCCGCCGCGG